ACGGAGGGUGCAAGCGUUAAUCGGAAUUACUGGGCGUAAAGCGCGCGCAGGCGGUUUGGUAAGUCAGAUGUGAAAUCCCAGGGCUCAACCUGGGCACUGCAUUUGAUACUGCCGAGCUUGAGUUUGGGAGAGGGUGGUGGAAUUCCAGGUGUAGGAGUGAAAUCCGUAGAGAUCUGGAGGAACACCGGUGGCGAAGGCGGCCCCCUGGACCAAGACUGACGCUCAGGUGCGAAAGCGUGGGGAGCAAACAG
rnacentral:rRNA from 1 species